GCGUCAGUCGCAAGAUGAAGCGUUGAAUUGAAGCCCGAGUAAACGGCAGCCGUGACUAUAACGGUCCUAAGGUAGCGAAAUUCCUUGUCGGUUAAAUACCGACCUGCAUGAAUGGCGUAACGAGAUGGGGGCUGUCUCAACCAGAGAUUCAGUGAAAUUGUAGUGGAGGUGAAAAUUCCUCCUACCCGCGGCAAGACGGAAAGACCCCGUGGACCUUUACUACAACUUAGCACUG
rnacentral:rRNA from 1 species